AUUGAACGCUGGCGGCAUGCCUUACACAUGCAAGUCGAACGGCAGCAUGAUCUAGCUUGCUAGAUUGAUGGCGAGUGGCGAACGGGUGAGUAAUACAUCGGAACGUGCCCUGUAGUGGGGGAUAACUAGUCGAAAGAUUAGCUAAUACCGCAUACGACCUGAGGGUGAAAGUGGGGGACCGCAAGGCCUCAUGCUAUAGGAGCGGCCGAUGUCUGAUUAGCUAGUUGGUGAGGUAAAGGCUCACCAAGGCGACGAUCAGUAGCUGGUCUGAGAGGACGAUUCGCCACCCUGGGAGUGAGAAACGGCCCAGACUCCUACGGUGGGCAGCAGUGGGGAAUUUUGGACAAGGGGCGAAAGCCGGAUCCAGCAAUGCCGCGUGUGUGAAGAAGGCCUUCGGGUUGUAAAGCACUUUUGUCCGGAAAGAAAUGGCUCUGGUUAAUACCUGGGGUCGAUGACGGUACCGGAAGAAUAAGGACCGGCUAACUACGUG
rnacentral:rRNA from 1 species